CAGCUCUUGACUGUCCGGCAUAUCCACAGAGAUCAGGAGUUCCUUCGGGGAACCGGAACACAGGUGCUGCAUGGCUGUCGUCAGCUCGUGUCGUGAGAUGUUGGGUUAAGUCCCGCAACGAGCGCAACCCUCACCCUUAGUUGCCAGCAUUCAGUUCGGCACUCUAAGGGGAAUGCCGGUUAAUAACCUAGAGGAAGGUGGGGAUGACGUCAAUUCCUCAUGGCCCUUACGGGCUGGGCUACACACGUGCUACAAUGGUGGUGACAGUGAGCAGCGAAGGAGCGAUCCCGAGCUAAUCUCCAAAAGCCCUCUCAGUUCGGAAUGCACUCUGCAACUCCAGUGCAUGAAAUUGGAAUCCCUAGUAAUCCCGGAUCA
rnacentral:rRNA from 1 species